UUUUUUUUUUUCUUUUUCUUUUUUUUUUUUAAUUUUUAAUUUUUUUUCUCUUCUUCUUUAGGAUUCUGGCUCUUUAUUUUUUACUACUUUGUUUUAAAGUUUGUUUUUCACUUUAGUGGUCCUUUUGUUUUAUUUCAUUCUGAUCUUUGUUUUCAGUUUCUGGUCUCUGACUUCGGCAGAAUCAUCUAGGGUGAAAUUUACUUAGGUUGUGGUUUAUAUUCUUGACUCAGCCUGCUCAUACAGCCACUCUGCACUGAGAAAAAUGACUAGAAAGAAGAAAUCACCACAAAAGAGAGAAUCAGGAACAGUACUCUCUGCCACAGAGUUAUAUAAUUUGGAUUAUAAUUCUAUGUCAGAAAGCCAAUUCAGAAGCACAAUUAUGAAGCUACUGGUGGCUCUGGAAAAUAACAUAAGGAUUCAAGAGACUUCAUGACUGCAGAAUUUAGAUCUAAUCAGGCCAAAAUUAAAAAUAAAUUAAAUGAGAUGCAAUCCAAACUGGAGGUCCUAAUAACAAGGGUUAAUGAGGUAGAAGAAUGAGUGACAUAGCAGACAAGUUGAUGGCAAGGAAGGAAGCUGAAGAAAAAAAAAGUAAAACAAUUAAAAUAUCAUAGGGAAAGGUUAAGGGAAAUAAAUGAUAGCCUCAGAAGGAAAAAUCUACAUAUAAGUGGGGUUCCAGAGGGCGCUGAGAUGGACAGAGGGCCAGAAAUCAUAUUUGAACAAAUGAAUAAAGAUUCGAGCAGAACUAAUAAAAUAGAGACCAGAAGAACUGUAGAAGAGAUAAAUAAAACCAGGAGUUGGUUCUUUGAAAGAAUGAAUAAGAUAGACUAACCAUAGCCAGCCUUAUUAAAAGAAAAGAUAAAAACUCAAAUUAAUAAAAUCACAGAUGAAAAAGAGAUCACAACCAACACCAAGGAAAUACAAACUAUUUUUAAAAUGUAUUUUGAGCAGCUAUACGCCAAUAAAUUAGGCAAUCUAGAAGAAAUGGAUGCAUUUCUGGAAAGCCACAAAUUACUAAAACUGGAACAGGAAGAAAUAGAAAAAUUGGACAGGCCAAUGACGAGGGAGGAUAUUGAAGUAGUCAUCAAAAACCUCCCAAGACACAAAAGUCCAGGGCCAGAUGACUUCCCAGGGGAAUUCUGUCAAAUGUUUAAAGAAGAAAUAAUACCUAUCCUAAUAAAGAUGUUCCAAAAGAUAGAAAGGGAUGGAAUACUUCCAAACUCAUUUUAUGAGGCCAGCAUCACCUUAAUUCCAAAACCAAAGACCCCACCAAAAAGGAGAAUUGUAGACCAAUAUCCCUGAUGAACACAGAUGCAAAAAUUCUUGACAAGAUACUAGCCAAUAGGAUCCAACAGUAAAUUAAGAAGAUUAUUCACCAUGACCAAGCGGCAUUUAUCUCCAGGAUGCAAGGCUGGUUCAACACUUGUAAAGCAAUCAAUAUGAUUGAUCAUAUCAGCAAAAAAAAAGCCAUAUGAUCCUCUCAAUAGAUGCAGAGAAAGCAUUUGACAAAAUACAGCAUCCGUUUCUGAUCACAACUCUUCAGAGUGUAGGGAUAGAGGGAACACUCCUCAGCAUCUUAAAAGCCAUCUACAAAAAGCACACAGCAAAUAUCAUUCUCAAUGAGGAAACACUGGGAGCCUUUCUCCUAAGAUUAGGAAUAGGACAGGGAUGUGCACUCUGACCUCUGCUAUUCAACAUAGUACUGGAAGUCCUAGCCUCAGCAAUCAGGCAACAAAAAGACAUAAAAGGCAUUCAAAUUGGCAAAGAAGAAGUCAAAUACUCCCUCUUCACAGAUGACAUGAUACUGUACAUAGAAAACCCAAAAGACUCCACCCCAAGAUUGCUGGAACUCAUACAACAAUUUGGCAGUGUGGCAGGAUACAAAAUCAAUGCCCAGAAAUCAGUGGCCAUUUCUAUACACUAACAAUGAGACUGAAGAAAGAGAAAUUAAGGAGUCAAUCCCAUUUACAAUUGCACCCAAAACCCUACCAUAUCUAAAAAUAAACCUAACCAAAGAGGUAAAGGAUCUAUACCCUAAAAACUCCAGAACACUUCUGAAAGAAAUUGAGGAAGACACAAAGAUAUGGAAAAUAUUUCAUGCUCAUGUAUUGGAAGAAUUAAUAUUGUAAAAAAAAAAAACAACAAUGCUACCUAGGGCAAUUUACACAUUUAAUUGCAAUCCCUAUCAAAAUACCAUGGACUUCCUUCAGAGUGUUGGAACAAAUCAUCUUAAGAUUUGUGUGGAAUCAGAAAAGACCCCAGAUAGUCCGGGGAAUAUUGAAAAAGAAAACCAGAACUGGGGCCAUCACAAUGCCAGAUUUCACGUUGCACUGCAAAGCUGUGAUCAUCAAGACAGUGUGGUCGUGGCACAAAAACAGGCACAUAGAUCAAUGCAACAGAACAGAGAAGCCAGAAAUGGGCCCUCACCUCUAUGGUCAAUUAAUAUUCAACAAAGCAGGAAAGAGUAUCCACGGGAAAAAGGAAAGUUCUUCAAUAAAUGGUGCUGGGAAAAUUGGACAGUGACGUGCAGAAGAAUGAAACUAGACCAUUUUUUUUUACACCACUCACAAAGAUAAGCUCAACAUGGAUGAAAGAUCUAAAUGUGAGACAAGAAUCCAUCAAAAUCCUAGAGGAGAACACAAGCAAGGCUCCUUUUGAACUUGGCCACAGCAACUUUUUGCAAGAGACAUCUAUGAAGGCAAAGGAAACAAAAGCAAGAAUGAGCUAAUGGGACUUAAUCAAGAUACAAAGCUUCUUCAUAGCAAAAGAAACAGUCAACAAAACUAAAAGACAACCUACAGAAUGGGAGAAGAUAUUGGCAAAUGACCUAUCAGAUGAAGGGCUAGUAUCCAAGAUCUAUAAAGAACUUAUUAAACUCAACAUCAUGAAAUGGGCAAAAGACAUGAACAGAAAUUUCACAGAGGAAGACAUAGACAUGGCCAACAAGCACAUGAGAAAAUUCUCCGCAUUACUGGCCAUCAGGGAAAUACAAAUCAAAACCACAAUGGGAUACCACCUCACACCAGUGAGAAUGGGGGAAAUUAACAAGACAGCAAACGACACAUGUUGGAGAGGAUGUGGAGAAGGGAACCCUCUUGCACUGUUGGUGGGAAUGUGAACUGGUGCAGCCACUCUGGAAAACUGUGUGGAGGUUCCUCAAAGAGUUAAACAUAGACCUGCCCUAUGACCCAGCAAUUGCACUGGUGGGGAUUUACCUCAAAGAUACAGAUGCAGUGAAACAGCAGGACACCUGCACCCCGAUGUUUCUAGCAGCAAUGUCCACAAUAGUCAAAUUGUGGAAGGAUCCUCUGUGUCCAUCAAAAGAUGAAUGGAUAAAGAUGUGGUCUAUACAUACAAUGGGAUAUUACUCAGCCAUUAGAAAUGACAAAUACCUACCAUUUUCUUCGACGUGGAUGGAACUGAAGGGUAUAAGUGAAAUAAGUCAAUCAGAGAAGGACAAACAUUAUAUGGUUUCAUAUUUUCUGAGAAUAUAAAAAAUAGUGAAAGGGAAUAAAGGGGAAAGGAGAGAAAAUGAGUGGGAAAUAUCAGAGAGGGAGACAGAACAUGGGAGACUCCUAACUCUUGGAAACGAACAAGGAGUAAUGGAAGGGGAAGUGGGCAGGGGGUUGGUGUGACUGGGUAACGGGCACUGAGGGGGGCACUUGAUGGGAUGAACACGUGGUGUUAUGCUAUAUGUUGGCAAAUGGAACUCCAAUAAAAAAAAAAUACAAGAAAAAAAGGAAAAAAAACUGUUUAGGAAUGGCUUAUUUGUGCUAUAUCCUCUCAAUUAACAUAAAAUGUUUAUUUUUUCAGCACCAUAAAUAUCUCAUUCUUAUAUGUUUAUGAUUACUUUAAGCAUAACUUCAUAUAUUCAGCGUGUUUUCUUUUGUGUAAACUUUUCACUUCCUUAAUUUUUUUCCACAUUGUUGUCUUUAAGUCACUUGACUACUUCAUUCAUACAUUUAGACAUUGAUCUCUUGUCAUUUUCAAAUGUUAUAAUUCAAUUCAAAAUCUGUCAUAUGUUCAUAAAAUCUAUCACUGUAUCCUUUGGUGAACAAAAAUCAUUGUUAUAAUUAAAUACUUCAUUUUUAUUCCAUCUUUUACCCUCAUAAAGAAUUAUUUAUGAGGCCCCUUUGCACAUCUAUGUCACAAAAUAUUCUCCUACUCUUUUAUCGAUUUUCAUAUUUCGGAACUACCUUUAAUUCAUAUUUUCAUGUAGCAUUCUGUAAAAUUUACUCUGUUUUUAUUUUUUUGUUUGUUUUAGUUUUCCUCCUUUUUAGCCAUUCUUUGUAGUAUCAUAUGCUCUUUAUUACCUUAUUAAAAGAUAGUUCAAAUUGUAUCAUAUAUUUAUGACCCAUUUUUUUCUUAUUAGGCAAUGCCAAGGUUAUGUUGAUAUUACUAAUCUUUCCAAAGAUUCUAACUUUGGUUUUAUUAUAUUUCUUCACUUUUUUUCUCUCCUCUGUUUCAUUCUUGAUUUUUGUUUUGGUUUUUAAAAUUUUUUAUUCAGAUUCCAUUUAUUCAACAUACAGUAUAAUAUUAGUUUAAGGUAUACAGUAUAGUGAUUCAACAUUCCACACAACAACACCCAGUGCUCAUCACAACAAGUGUCUUCCUUAGUUUUCAUGAUAUAUCACCUCACUCACCCCCCUCCAGUAACCAUCAGUUUAUUCUCUAUUGUUAAGUCUGUUUUUUGCUUUGCCUCUCUUUUUUCCCUUUGCUCAUUUAUUUUGUUUCUUAAAUUCCAAAUAUGAGUGAAAUCAUAUGGUAUUUGUCUUUUUCUGACUGAUUUACUUCAUAAUACUCUCUAGCUCCAUACAUGUCAUUGGAAAUGUCACGAAUUCAUUCUUUCUUUUAUGGCUGAGUAAUAUCCUAUUGUGUAUAUUCACCACAUCGUCAAUAUCCAUUCAUCACUUGAUGGCCAUUUCUGUUAUUUGGCUGUUAUUGAUAAUGCCGCUAUAAACACAGGUGUAUAUAUCUCUUUGAAUUAUUAUUUUUGUAUUCUUUGGGCAAAUAUCUAGCCAUGCAAUUUCUGGA
rnacentral:lncRNA from 1 species